rnacentral:rRNA from 1 species
CCUACGGGAGGCAGCAGUAAGGAAUAUUGGUCAAUGGAGGCAACUCUGAACCAGCCAUGCCGCGUGCAGGAUGACGGCCCUAUGGGUUGUAAACUGCUUUUAUACAAGAGAAAACCCUGGUACGUGUACCAGGUUGAUAGUAUUGUAAGAAUAAGCAUCGGCUAACUUCGUGCCAGCAGCCGCGGUAAGACGAAGGAUGCAAGCGUUAUCCGGAUUCAUUGGGUUUAAAGGGUGCGUAGGCGGACUGAUAAGUCAGUGGUGAAAUCUCUUUGCUUAACAAAGAAACUGCCAUUGAUACUGUCGGUCUAGAGUAUAGAUGACGUUGGCGGAAUAUGACAUGUAGUGGUGAAAUACUUAGAUAUGUCAUAGAACACCGAUUGCGAAGGCAGCUAACGAAACUAUAACUGACGCUGAGGCACGAAAGUGCGGGGAUCAAACAGGAUUAGAUACCCUGGUAGUCCGCACCGUAAACGANANAUACUCGUUGUUGUGAUAUNNANNAGCGACCACGACGAAGACGANAAGUAAUACACCGCGGGAGGUACGCCGGCGACGGUAGAACGUACGAAAGGAAGUAGACGGACGAGAGACGAGCCGACGGACGACGACGAGGGGAGGAGGG